rnacentral:rRNA from 1 species
GACAGAGGUGCCGAGCGUUAGGCGGAAUCACUGGGCUUAAAGCGUGUGUAGGCGGCCCGUUAAGUGUCUUGUGAAAUCCCCCGGCUCAACCGGGGAACGGCUGGGCAUACUGGCGGGCUUGGGUCGCUCAGGGGCAGACGGAACAGGCGGUGGAGCGGUGAAAUGCGUAGAUAUCGUCUGGAACGCCGAAGGUGAAAACAGUCUGCUGGGGGCGCACCGACGCUGAGACACGAAAGCCAGGAGAGCGAACGGG